rnacentral:rRNA from 1 species
UACGUAGGGUGCAAGCGUUGUCCGGAAUUAUUGGGCGUAAAGAGCUCGUAGGCGGUCUGUCACGUCUGCCGUGAAAACCCGAGGCUUAACCUCGUGGCUUGCGGUGGAUACGGGCAGACUAGAGGUAGGUAGGGGAGAAUGGAAUUCCCGGUGUAGCGGUGAAAUGCGCAGAUAUCGGGAGGAACACCGGUGGCGAAGGCGGUUCUCUGGGCCUUACCUGACGCUGAGACGCGAAAGCGUGGGGAGCAAACAGG